rnacentral:rRNA from 1 species
UGUAAUCUUAGUGGCGGACGGGUGAGUAACGCGUGGGUAACCUGCCUUACACUGGGGGAUAACACUUAGAAAUAGGUGCUAAUACCGCAUAAGCGCACGAAGCCGCAUGGAUUUGUGUGAAAAACUCCGGUGGUGUAAGACGGACCCGCGUCUGAUUAGCUUGUUGGCGGGGUAACGGCCCACCAAGGCGACGAUCAGUAGCCGGCCUGAGAGGGUGGACGGCCACAUUGGGACUGAGACACGGCCCAAACUCCUACGGAAGGCAGCAG